rnacentral:rRNA from 1 species
GAUGAACGCUGGCGGCGUGCCUAAUACAUGCAAGUCGAGCGAACAGACGAGGAGCUUGCUCCUCUGACGUUAACGGCGGACGGGUGAGUAACACGUGGAUAACCUACCUAUAAGACUGGGAUAACUUCGGGAAACCGGAUCUAAUACCGGAUAAUAUAUUGAACCGCAUGGUUCAAUAGUGAAAGACGGUUUUGCUGUCACUUAUAGAUGUAUCCGCGCCGCAUUAGCUAGUUGGUAAGGUAACGGAUUACCAAGGCAACGAUGCGUAGCCGACCUGAGAGGGUGAUCGGCCACACUGGAACUGAGACACGGUCCAGACUCAUAGGGGAGGCAGCAGUAGGGAAUCUUCAGCAAUGGGCGAAAGCCUGACGGCGCAACGCCGCGUGAGUGAUGAAGGUCUUCGGAUCGUAAAACUCUGUUAUUAGGGAAGAACAAAUGUGUAAGUAACUAUGCACGUCUUGACGGUACCUAAUCAGAAAGCCACGGCUAACUACGUG